AAGACAUAGUCAUUAAAGGCGAAUGUUAGGGCAACCCAUCCCUGACCUAGACAGAGAGCCCAAGACCAGGCACUCUGUAUAAAUGACCUCAUUCAGGGUGCUCAGACCCAGAGCAUGAAGAAGAUACCGGCUUGAAUCUCACUUCCAACAAGCAGUUACUCUGAACCAGAUCUGACCAGUACUGAAGACGAGUCCAGGAGUUCAAAUCCUUUGUGCCAAGAUCAACUAGAAAGCCAAUAAUGGUGCAUAUGACUAGGCUUACCCUCAACUUAUCCAGAAGGGAUCUGAAGCUGCACUUCUGAGACUCAAACAAGCACUUGAUCUGUCUUCGAAGCAAGUCCUCAGAACCAUCAGCACUUUCUAUUGCUGGUUUCUUCAACUCAGAGCCUGUGCAGAGCUCUUGUUGUUUGGUUUGUCUGCCCGGAUUCGUGUCCCGCUUUAGAUUCCAGUCCCCACUCGGUGGUGGUGCCUUCUCUCUCAGCAGCUUCUGACUGAAUCAGCUAUGCCAUUCACUGAACUCCUUCUUUCCAGCCUCACUCUUCACUCAGCAUUUCUAACAAGCUCCUCCCUUUUCCCAUUGGGGAAGUAUGUUCUAACAAGGGAAGGAUCCUGUGAAAAGUGAGAAAACUGAAUCCAAGAUGGCAAAUUAAUUUGCUCCAGCUCAGACAACGGGGCAGGUACGCAGAGCUGGAUUUGAACCCACCUGGGAUCACAGAAGACAAUUGACAAAUCAUAAAGGUGACUAAGUUAUACGACAACAGCAGAGCACCACCCAGACAUGCUGGUUCACACUUUCUCAUCAGCUCUGUGACUUCGCUUGGGAACCUGAUGUGACCUGCUAUUCUCUUGCCUUUGUGAACAUCAAAGUCUUACACAGAAAAUACUUGAGAAAUAACUGCUGAUCAACCACUUCAGGAUGGCACCAUGGCAAAAGCUAGUGGGCUUCCCAUAGGAGAUUUGGUGUUUCUUUUUGCUGGCUCCAUUAAAGAAUAUGAGAUGUCUAUACUUAACCCAU